rnacentral:sRNA from 1 species
UCACUCGACAGUGCGAAGAAUUUAUAUAUGGGGGAUGUGAAGGAAAUCAGAAUCGAUUUGAAAGUCUGGAAGAGUGCAAAAAAAUGUGUACAAGAGAUAAUGCAAACAGGAUUAUAAAGACAACAUUGCAACAAGAAAAGCCAGAUUUCUGCUUUUUGGAAGAAGAUCCUGGAAUAUGUCGAGGUUAUAUUACCAGGUAUUUUUAUAACAAUCAGACAAAACAGUGUGAACGUUUCAAGUAUGGUGGAUGCCUGGGCAAUAUGAACAAUUUUGAGACAAUGGAAGAAUGCAAGAACAUUUGUGAAGAUGGUCCAAAUGGUUUCCAGGUGGAUAAUUAUGGAACCCAGAUCAAUGCUGUGAAUAACUCCCUGACUCCGCAAUCAACCAAGGUUCCCAGCCUUUUUGGUAAGAAUCUUGUGGAUUUUAUUGCUUCCAGGAAACUAUUAUCAUGGUAACAAUGAAGUGGAUUGUGUAUUAGAAGUAUGUCUUUAAAUAUAUAUAUACCUAUGUUGUUGCUUAAUAAUGUCUUUGUUGAAAUACUGAGAUUCAAAUUGUUUAAGACAUUUAAUCUCAUAAAAGCAACAAUUUUCCUAAUCU